rnacentral:rRNA from 1 species
AAUGGGUCAGCGACUUAUAUUCUGUAGCAAGGUUAACCGAAUAGGGGAGCCGAAGGGAAACCGAGUCUUAACUGGGCGUUAAGUUGCAGGGUAUAGACCCGAAACCCGGUGAUCUAGCCAUGGGCAGGUUGAAGGUUGGGUAACACUAACUGGAGGACCGAACCGACUAAUGUUGAAAAAUUAGCGGAUGACUUGUGGCUGGGGGUGAAAGGCCAAUCAAACCGGGAGAUAGCUGGUUCUCCCCGAAAGCUAUUUAGGUAGCGCCUCGUGAAUUCAUCUCCGGGGGUAGAGCACUGUUUCGGCAAGGGGGUCAUCCCGACUUACCAACCCGAUGCAAACUGCGAAUACCGGAGAAUGUUAUCACGGGAGACACACGGCGGGUGCUAACGUCCGUCGUGAAGAGGGAAACAACCCAGACCGCCAGCUAAGGUCCCAAAGUCAUGGUUAAGUGGGAAACGAUGUGGGAAGGCCCAGACAGCCAGGAUGUUGGCUUAGAAGCAGCCAUCAUUUAA